GCUGUUAACAAGCUUUACUACUACAAUUUUGAGACCUCUGAAAGUUACGAGGAGCCUUUCAACGUAACGCAGUCCAAAUGCAGAGAUUCGGCACAUUCCCAGAACUAUCUCACGCUCGUGGUGAACUACAAAGGGAAGCUGCUGGUAUGCGGGAC